rnacentral:lncRNA from 1 species
GCCCCUCGGCGCCUCCUUCCUCUUCCGCGCCCCGAAGUCCGCAUCCCCUGGAGCCCCCGCUCCUCGCGUCCCGCCGCCCGGGCCCGCCGCUGACCCUGCAUCCUUCCUUCCUCCUCCCUCCCUGCCCACGAAGCCCCGGCCCCUCGCCGGCCGCAGGAAUUUUACCGCUCCUUUAGCAACCCUCCCCCUUUAUUUCCCGAAGAGAAAACGGGGCACCUGUAUGGAUUAACAUGAGUUAUCACCAACAUCAAAAUAAAGAAAUUGUCCUCUGGCAGCCCUACCCAAGGUAACUAGACUUGCAGUCACUCUGUCAACCUCUUUCCUUCUCGUGCGAGUCAUCACUAGUCUUGUUUUUAUCAUGUCUAACAUUUUAAUAUUCUACAUAAGUUAUAAACCUCAUAAUGUAGUUAUUAUU